rnacentral:rRNA from 1 species
UACGAAGGGGACUAGCGUUGUUCGGAAUUACUGGGCGUAAAGCGCGCGUAGGCGGUGAUCUUUGUCAGAGGUGAAAUCCCGAGGCUCAACUUCGGAAUUGCCUUUGAAACGGGAUUGCUUGAGUCCGAGAGAGGAUGGCGGAAUUCCUAGUGUAGAGGUGAAAUUCGUAGAUAUUAGGAAGAACACCGGUGGCGAAGGCGGCCAUCUGGCUCGGUACUGACGCUCAGGCGCGAAAGCGUGGGGAGCAAACAGG